CGCCGUCGUUACGCAAGCGUCAGCGCUGCGUUUGAGACAUUCAAAUGACGUCACGGCAUGAUGGGAAACGCGGAAGAGCGGAAAGGCCGCGGUUUCAACUGGUGACAUUUCUUUAGACGUUUUAAACUCGUUUUGAAACCACAUAUUCACCGAACUGACUUUGAAUAAAGUCGGUUCAACGCUAAAGCGCUCCCUAAAUGUUUUGGGUAGAAGCUGUGCUGUAAUCGGUUUGCAAGGAGUUUAUAACCAUCAUCAUGAGUAAUUUUGGGGACGAUAGCGAUUCUGAAGUGGAUCGGAUCGUGAUGGACCGGCCGCCCAGCAGUUACGGCUCCAUGCAUAGUGACGAUCAUGAAGAAGAAAUUGAUGACUUUGAUGUAUCUCCGCUUAAACAAACAACACGGGUCAGGCUUAAUCGUCCAGAUUCACCGGAGACCGCGAUUACUGAACGUACAAACACAAACCAGUCCAGCAUAUACAAAGAUGGACUGUUCCUGAGACAACCCAUCAUGCACAUAGGAGAAUCUCCUGCAAUACACAGCAUUAACAGAGAGCCCUCGAUCAUGGAGCCGUCUGAGCUGCAGAGCGACAUAAGAACAGAAGCAGCGAUGGAUGAAGAGCUGAAUGACCGAGACACGGAGAUGAAUGAGAGAGGCGUGCAGGAGCAGCAGAAUGAAAGCGCUGCAAUGGAGGUGCAGGUGGAGCAGGCAGAGGCAACGACAGAAGAGGACGAUUUUGAUGAAAUUGUUGUACAAUAUGAAGAACCGACAGAUCCUCCUCCUACUCCUCCGGAAGGCUUCGGUCUGCAGUUUAGACACAAACACAGCUCCCUCACACUACGCCAUGUGUUAACGGUAGAUGUAGAUGUUUUUGUGUUUCUGUUGAAAACCGUAGAGGAAACUUUCAGAAGCUUAAAGCCUGACAUAUGAAAUAAUAGUCAGGAAAAUAAAAUUCUUUGAAAUGGAACA
ensembl:lncRNA